rnacentral:rRNA from 1 species
GAUGAACGCUAGCGGCAGGCCUAAUACAUGCAAGUCGAGGGGUAAAAGGAAUAGCAAUAUUUGCUGACGACCGGCGCACGGGUGAGUAACACGUAUGUAAUCUGCCAAUCACUGGAGGAUAGCCCGGAGAAAUACGGAUUACUACUCCAUAACAGAAGACAUGGCAUCUUGUUUUUUUGAAAGCGCGGGCGGUGGUGGAUGAACAUGUGACUGAUUAGUUUGUUGGUGAGGUAACGGCUCACCAAGACUUCGAUCAGUAGGGGUACUGAGAGGUUAAACCCCCACACUGGUACUGAGACACGGACCAGACUCCUACGGGAGGCAGCAGUAAGGAAUAUUGGACAAUGGCCGCAAGGCUGAUCCAGCCAUGCCGCGUGCAGGAAGACGGACCUAUGGUUUGUAAACUGCUUUUGAACGGGAGAAAACCCCCCUACGUGUAGGGGGCUGAUAGUACCGUUAGAAUAAGCAUCGGCUAACUUCGUGCCAGCAGCCGCAGUAAUAC